rnacentral:misc_RNA from 1 species
GAUGAAGAACGUAGCGAAAUGCGAUAAGUAGUGUGAAUUGCAGAAUUCCGUGAACCAUCGAAUCUUUGAACGCACAUUGCGCCUUCUGGUAUUCCGGAAGGCAUGCCUGUUCGAGAGUCAUUAACAACCGUUUCGAUCCCUUUCUUUCAGAAAUUACAAAGAGGAAAAGGGUUUGGUUAUGGUGGAGGAGGGAAAGGGAGCGUUUAGCCUGUAAAAAAAGAGGCUGUGUUCCGCCUCCCCCCCAAAAUUGUACAGGCGGUCGUGUGCGCCCACGCAUCGAGGUGUUGUAAAAGCUGCCACGGCACUUUUCACCUGUGCAGUGCGAGAUUGGCCAGCCGGUUUAAAAACCCCUCCAAACAAUCAAAGGUUGACCUCGGAUCAGGUAGGGAUACCCGCUGAACUUAAGCAUAUCAAUAAGCGGAGGA